UCUCUUUGAUCACUUUGCUUUUUGUUUUUUGAGCUUUUGGUCACUUGUGUUGAGUAUUAUGUUUGCUUGAUAGCAAUUUCUUUGCGCUCACAAAUCAUAAAAUACAUAAGUGGGAGUGGGAGGACAAAGAGUUCCUGCAUGAAUUAUGAGAUUUGCUAAAGGAAGUUUAAGUUUGAAUUUUUUAUUUGUUUCUAAGUUCUAAUUUCUAUUUUUUUUUUUUUUUGCAGUGGAUACCUCUAUGUUAGAUUCUUUUUUCUAAAGAAAAAUGAUGCUGAAAGAAAACUAGGAAAUAUACCAAGGAAUUAAGAUCAUUGAACAUGAAAAAUGCAACAUAUCCUAGAGGUUUUGGUAAUAUAUUCAUUUCCUGCAGUACUUUGAUUAGGGACACAUCGACAAGGAGUGAUAUGGGAUAUCUUCCUUCACCAAGAUAGCUUCAUGAAGCCUCAAGAUUCCAUCAGGAACAGUUAGAGCUACCUGAUGACACAGCCACAAGUACCCUCUCUGAAACAGAGGAAGCCUUCCCCAGACACUGAAUCUGCCUGCACCUUGAUAUUAGAUUUCCCAGACUUCAGAAAUAUAAGAAAUAAAAUUCCGUUGCUCAUAAAUUACCCAUUCUAAGAUAUUUUGUUCUAGUAUCUGAUGCAUACUAGCUCGUGAGUGAAAAUACAUGUACCUGUAUGGCAUUCCUUUCAAAGAGGAAACUGGUGCAAACUGCUUUACUUCAUACUGAAAGAUCAAGAAAAUGAUUUGAUUUAUAUCCUUGUAGCAUCUAUCUUCAAGAGGUAGGAGCAUUCAGUCAUUUCUGGCUACAAUAACCUAUCCUUAGUUUGUUACAUUUUGAAGGCAUCUCAGUGAUGGACAUAUAAAACAUUCCUUACUAAGAGAGGUAAAACAUUCCUGUGUCAGAAAUCAAGGCCACAGAUACAGAUCAAACAGAAUAUGCAACUAACAGCACUGAAAAAAAACCUGACUUUUUAAAAUUAAGAUUUAUUUAUUUAUUUGAGAAGCAGAGUUUACAAAGAUAGAGAGGGAGAGACAGAGAGAGAGGUCUCCCACCCUGCUGGUUCACUCUUCAAAUGGCUGCAAUGGCUGGAGCUGAGCUGACCGGAAUCCAGGAGCCAGGAGCUUACUCUGGAUCUCCCACAUGAGUGAAGGGACCCAAGGAGUUUGGCCAUCUUCCACUGCUUUCCCAGGCCAUAAGCAGAGAGCUGGAUCAGAAGAGCAGCAGCCGGGACAGAAACCAGUGCCCAUACGGGAUGCUAGCCCCACAGGAGGAGGCUUAAUCUACUAUGCCAUAGCACCAGCCCCUGUUAUCCCUUUUAGAAUGUGCAUUAUUGCUGUUUUUUUAGUAUCGUAUAAGCAUAUAUUUUACUUCCAUUUUAAGUAUUUUCCCAAUGAAUCUAUAGCUUUAUCUGAAUUCAACAGUUCAUCUCUUUAUUCCUUUGCAUAUCAUACAGGAGUAAUCUUCAAAAAAUCAUGGACAGUGCAUACUAUGGAAAAAAACUAUGUAUGCAUCUCAAAAAUGUUUGCACACAAAUAAUUAAAAUAUUUUUGUCUUUAAAUUUACCAUCAUCUUUAUUAUGCAGAUGGUUUUCAUUUACAUUUUUUAUCCUUAAAUUUUACUCCUCGGUUUUUUCUCACUUUUCCUCCCUUUGAUUAUAAAACAACUUUCCUCCCAUUUUAAAAUUUCUUUUACAGUAACAUUUUUUAUCUUCUUACUUCUUUACAGAUGAAUUCUCUUCCUUUAUUCUUAGAACUUAAAUAAAGGCUCUAUUCUACUACUUUACUAUCAUAAUUUGUAGGAUUUUUUUCAAAAUAUUUUGUCAGAAUGAUGUUUUACUGAAUAAGUAAUUGAGGCAAUAGCAUAAAAUUAUGCUGAGCUUUAAUAUCUACCAGUAAAAUUGCUCUCUGCAUCCCCCUUUUUCAAGGACAUCUAAUUAUUUUCUCUUCUUUCUCUUCCUGAAAUGCAUCAGGGAAGAGAAUUUGAUGUUUACUGCUGGCCUACGUGGGUUCUGACAAAAGGAUUUUCAUUUUGCUUAAGAAGCAGAAUCACAUUCAUUGUGUCAGCUGGAGUCAUAAUUACAUCCUUGCUCUUAAAGACAAUCAUACUCGAGGCUUAUAGUAAAGGACCUGGAGAGCACUUUAUCUCCUCUUGUGUUUGUGAGAGAAGCCCAUGUGUCAUUUACUAUCAUUUUCCAUCUUUACAACCAUGAUCUUGUUAGAAAAGCAUGUGAUCAGAUCACUUUGUGGUUGGCAAUAUGUUGCUAGAAUCUUUGUUUUCAAGAAUUGGAGAAGGGAACAAGAAACAGAGAGAAGAUACGAGCCUUGGAUUGUUUUCAAGUAGUAGGAAAGUAAAAUGGUAGAGUACCAGGCAGCUCACAGAAUUGAGAUACAUGAAUUUGGUAUUAACAAUUGCAUUGUUGUCAAUACUAGCUCUCAGAUCUGUUUGGCCAAAUGAGCAGGACCAAGUUUACCCUGUAGGCUAGUGUUUGAGCAAGAGGAGUUAUCAACACUAGGAAAACUGGAAAGUCAAUUUAAAAUUUAGUCAGAAGUUGGAGCUAGAAUUGUGAUAAGAGUGGUUGAACCAUUGCUUUCCACACUGCCUCCACUUCUGAUCCAGAAUUCCAGCUAAUGAGUCUCCGAAGGCAGCAGAAGAUGGCCCAAAAUUUGGGCACCUGCCACCUCGUUGAAGUUCCAGGCUUCAGAUUCAGCCUGGCUCAGCACCAGUAUUUGGUAAAUGAACCUGCAAAUAGAAGAUUCUCUCUCUCCCCCUCUCUCUCCCUCGCCUGCCUUUCUCCCUCUCUCUCUC